GACGUAGGGCGCGAGCGUUGUCCGGAUUUAUUGGGCGUAAAGAGCUCGUAGGCGGCUUGUCGCGUCGACUGUGAAAUCCCGCGGCUCAACUGCGGGUCUGCAGUCGAUACGGGCAGGCUAGAGUUCGGUAGGGGAGACUGGAAUUCCUGGUGUAGCGGUGAAAAUGCGCAGAUAUCAGGAGGAACACCGAUGGCGAAGGCAGGUCUCUGGGCCGAUACUGACGCUGAGGAGCGAAAAGCGUGGGGGAGCGAACAGG
rnacentral:rRNA from 1 species